rnacentral:rRNA from 1 species
GGAGUUAGCCGGUGCUUCUUCUGUGAGUGAUGUCCUUCCUGCCGGCUAUUAACCCGCAGGCCUUCUUCCUCACUGAAAGUGCUUUACAACCCGAAGGCCUUCUUCACACACGCGGCAUGGCUGGAUCAGGGUUGCCCCCAUUGUCCAAUAUUCCCCACUGCUGCCUCCCGUAGGAGUCUGGGCCGUGUCUCAGUCCCAGUGUGGCUGAUCAUCCUCUCAGACCAGCUACGGAUCGUCGCCUUGGUGAGCCGUUACCUCACCAACCAGCUAAUCCGACAUAGGCUCAUCCGAUAGCGCGAGGCCCGAAGGUCCCCCGCUUUCCCCCGUAGGGCGUAUGCGGUAUUAGCCUGGGUUUCCCCAGGUUAUCCCCCACUACCGGGCAGAUUCCUAUGCAUUACUCACCCGUCCGCCGCUCGCCACCAGGGAGCAAGCUCCCCGUGCUGCCGCUCGACUUGCAUGUGUAGCNCGCCGCCAGCGUCAUCUGAGCCAGAAUACGAACCCGUACGA